AUUAAAUGCAUUUUUUUCUCUCUCGUGGAUCGACACAUCAGCCACUCUUAUCACAUCCUAUCUCAAGACUUCAUAUCAGCAAUCCCCAUACCUCCCAAAACCAGCGGCUAACCCUAAUUUUCCUCAUCAUCACUCUCUCUAAAACCCUAAAUUCAUUCCACUUUCCCUCAACCUUUCAUCAUCAUGCCUCCACGAACCAUUCCAGCUAGAGAAAAG
rnacentral:lncRNA from 1 species